rnacentral:rRNA from 1 species
UACGUAGGGUGCAAGCGUUGUCCGGAAUUAUUGGGCGUAAAGAGCUCGUAGGCGGUCUGUCGCGUCGGCUGUGAAAACCCGUGGCUCAACCCCGGGCCUGCAGUCGAUACGGGCAGACUAGAGUGCGGUAGGGGGAGACUGGAAUUCCUGGUGUAGCGGUGAAAUGCGCAGAUAUCAGGAGGAACACCGGUGGCGAAGGCGGGUCUCUGGGCCGUAACUGACGCUCAUGCACGACAGCGUGGGGAUCAAACAGG